UCCUUCAGAAACCCCGGGGGGCGGAGCUCAAUCAGUUAAGGUUUCAUAAGCCCUCCAGGCCACGCGAAGUUGGAGAGCUGCUCCCUCAGUCUUGCCCAGACACUGGCUUCAGCCCCCGGGCUGGAGAAGAGAGGACACAGGAGGUCACCCACAAAGAACAAAGAUCCAGCUGAAUCCUGGUACGAGUAGAGAAGGCCUUUCAUCCUGGACUGGCGAUCCAAGCCCUGGAAAGGAUGUGUUGGUUCUGAGUGUUUGCGUGGAACUGGAAAAGAUUUUUAUCAUCUUUGGAGAGAUCGUUCCACUAGAGGGCGCAGUGGGAGUAAGCAGAGGACAGGAGGGAGCCACCGCAGGGACAGCCUGACAAACUCAAGAGUGGGAGAGGCAGUUAGAGUUGGUUCUGCUCAGCUGGGGACUGGAAUUGGAUUUUUCACGAGACCCGGGGUCAGAACACAAGGCAGCAGGGAAAAGGCACUGGGAAGGGUGUGAGAAGGAAAGUGCUCAACAGGUCUGCUCAUGGCUCAGCAGGCGACAAUCCAUGCUCUCUGCUCUCCAGGCCGCCUUCAUCCUCGUCCUCCCAGGGGUCCCAGCCCUGGACACGUCUGCAGGGGUCAUAACUCAAGCUCCCUCACCCCCCUUCUUGACUCCCCAUCAGUGCUGCAUUCAGCUUGGCUUACUGGUAACCACUGCUGUGAAAUAAAGGU